AUGGUAUCAAACAAAAUCAUGAACUAGAACGAUACAGAAAAGAUUAGUAUGGCUUUUGCGCAAGAAUGACACGCACAAAUCGAAAAAUGAUAUCCGAACUA